rnacentral:lncRNA from 1 species
AUGGAGGGAUGGGAACUCCCCAGGGAGCACAGCCACAAGGAGGCCCGGCGGCGCAAGAGGACGAGGAGAGCGGGCCUCCGAGGCAGCGGACCCGGCUCCGCUACGACAGUCUGCGCGGAGCCCACUUGCCUCCCGCCGCCCGAGACGCCCUCCCCCCUCUGCCCCCCAGCCUUUCGUACGACUCGUCGCGGAAAAUGGUCGCACUACCUUGUCGCUCCAUCUAACCUCAGAGGGAGCCACGUCAGAACCAGCGUCCCUGAAAGGCGCCAUGUUGCCCAUUGGCUAUCUUGCCAUCCCCCUAGCCACCCCCACCUCCCUUCUGCGCGUGCGCAGCACUUGGGCUCCCAGGGCAACGGGGAGCGGAAGUGUUCUGCUCACCCAGAGGGGAGUGCGAAUUGGUGCUGGCUGUUUUACGCCCUCAGACCUCGGGUUCCUGGGUCAGGGUUCAUAACGGCCAACAGCUCACAGCUUCAGACGCCGGCUGAUCUACCAUGGGCUUCCUUAGUUAGUCUACAGAAGACCCAGCCUGAGACCUCAGAAGGAGUAAUUAAUAUUGUCAAAAGUGAUAAAAUGCGAGUAAACAAAAAAGGAAAGGUGAAAUCAACCCUCAAAGGUAAGCAGGGUCAACGUUUUAAUAGAUGUUCUUCUUCAGUACAUGCAUAUAGCUUAACAAAGGAGAUCCCACCCACCUGCUUUCUGGUAACCUGCUUUUAA